AGCCCUGUGGUCCUCUCAUCUUGGAGAACUUCGAUUCAGCUUUUAAGUCCGUACUUGGAUUCUUCCUUGGAUUUGGUUUUUAUGCUUGUAUUGGGCAAGUGUUAUCCGGCGUGAUGAUUCAUCAGGUCAAGAAGGUGCAGUCUACUGACGUCCCUGAGACUAUAGAAGAUGGAUAUCGUUUCACACCGAAAUUCCAGGCAAUUCGCCAUGUGGAGGGAGUUGCGGGAGUUGAACCGACGACCUUCUACCCAUAACCAGGGAUGAGGUCAGGGUUUCAGGUUUUUGGCAUCCUGGCAAAGCAGCGAGGAGUAGAAGGUGCUUGAACAACGGGAGACGAGGUGCAACCAGAAGAAGAAUAUGAGCGUUCGGGAACGGAAAGGCACAACUCACUGCUCACAGUUAUAAAUGAUGUCAUUUUGGAGUCACUGUUAUUGUAAAUAAGAUGUGUUUUUAAUGAAUAAUCCUGAAUGAAUUGUGAGUAACGAUGAGUGAGACAUUUACAGAGGCGCUAAUAUCACAACUCACUGCUCACAGUUAUAAACAUGAUGCUUCGUUUAUCUCAUUUGUGUAUAAUAUAUUUUAAAUCAUAAUAAAGUUUCGUCUGUC